UGCCUAUACAGGUGGCCUUAUUUUCCAAAUGUAUGAUUUAGCUAUUGAGCUUAAAUAUUUCAAUGAAAUGAAAACUGUUUAUCCGAUAAAAUAUUUUGUGCACUCUGCUCUGUUUAAGGCUCGCAUAAGUUAAUCGAUCGAGGUUCUCUCUUGACCUAACACGUUAUUUGAGAAUUGUGUACACCUAUUAGCUGACUCGGUGGGUUGAUCUCCAUUCGGGCACUAAUCAUGUAUGAGGCGUUAUAAGGGUGCUCGACGGGAUGUGUUCCGGAGCAUUGGGUCCCAAAUGGGAGCUUGGCUGGGUUACGCCCUCAGUCCAAGUAAAGCAGGAGUAAUGGAUCCGUCGGUGGCUAAAAGGUCCGGGAUCACAGCGAGUAACGGAAAGGGAGUGUGACAUGUGCGCACAAAUGAAAAUUAUUUUAACAUGCUUAGAAGUUAUUUCAAUUUAAAACCUUCUAAGUCAUGUCAAGUAUAAUUGGAUAAACUGCUCUUAUGAUUAUGAAAUGUUUAUAAAAAUGCUAGCCCACUAAGUAUAUUAGUACUUAGCCCAAAAUUACUUUCAAAUGUUUUCAGGUUGAUUGGUCGGUGCUGACGGGGCAGAGCUGAGGCUAGGGUUCAACUCCGUAUUUUGUCUUCCGCUGUUGCACUAGCUCUUAUUUGUCUUAUGUUUCUCUAACUUAAGACCUUUAUGUUAAAUUCUGAAUUAUGUUUCUUAUCGAGCGUAGACUCUCAACUUCUAGCUCUAUGUUAUUUAACGUUGGUUAUCAGAAGCAUGAAACCAAACUUGUGAUCCUGAAGUUUAGAAUGUUGUUGAUUGAUUAGUAUCACUUGAUUUCUAUCUUUCUUCAUUCAAAGGGCGUCGCCCAACCUUUUU
rnacentral:lncRNA from 1 species